rnacentral:rRNA from 1 species
UACGAAGGGGGCUAGCGUUGCUCGGAAUUACUGGGCGUAAAGGGCGCGUAGGCGGAUAUCUAAGUUGGGGGUGAAAUCCCGGGGCUCAACCUCGGAAUUGCCUUCAAAACUGGAUAUCUUGAGUUCGGGAGAGGUGAGUGGAACUCCGAGUGUAGAGGUGAAAUUCGUAGAUAUUCGGAAGAACACCAGUGGCGAAGGCGACUCACUGGCCCGAUACUGACGCUGAGGAGCGAAAGCGUGGGGAGCGAACAGG